CGCACCUUGCACCUCUUGGUAUUCCGAGAGGUACAUCUGUUUGAGUGUCAUGAAAACCUCAACCUCUACAUUUUCUUGUAAGAUGUAAGUAGCGUUGGAUGUUGAGCGUCUGCUGUGCUGCAACACAGCUCGCUUUAAAUGCAUAAGCAAUCUUGUAUCUGUUCGGAUUGACUUGACGUGAUAAGAUCUUCGUCAAGGAUGCUUCUUUAGCAGCCGAGCAAAUCUAUGAGUAGCUUCCAAAACAUGUUGUGGCCUCUGGUCGCACCGCACCCAUUAAAUUUAGACCUCAAAUCAGAUGGGACUACCCGCUGAACUUAA
rnacentral:misc_RNA from 1 species